UGUGAUGAGAUUUGUCCUCCAACUAUAUUAGUAAUAGGGAAAUAUAAUUGCUUCAUAUGUUCAGGUGCAUCCAACAUGCAUUGCAAUCAGUGCUAAUUUGAAGAUACUGUAUGUGUAGCUGUUCCUCUUACUAGCCAAAACACACUGCAUUGUCCUUUUUUAAAUAAGGGGUUGAGGUAGCUGAAUAUAAAUAGCGUGAAGUAUUUUGUUGACAUGAAGCUAACGUUAGCUAGCUAAAGGAAACAGAAGUGUCAAUGUAGCGGAAGUGGUACUGCCCUGAACGAUUCGAGGAGAGAGACGGAGGACGGAGGCUGCAUUGUCCAGAGAAAAAGCAGGAAUUAGAGCCGUAAAAAUUACUGAAAAAUGGACAAGAACGACCUGGUACAAAAGGCCAAGCUCGCUGAGCAGGCUGAGCGCUAUGAUGAUAUGGCUGGGGCCAUGAAGUCUGUGACGGAGCAGGGUGGGGAGCUCUCCAAUGAGGAGCGCAACCUGCUGUCAGUGGCCUACAAGAACGUUGUGGGGGCACGCCGCUCAUCCUGGCGGGUCAUCUCCAGCAUUGAGCAAAAGACAGAGGGCAAUGAGAAGAAGCAAGCCAUGGCCAAGGAGUACCGGGAGAAGAUUGAAACCGAGCUGCAGGACAUCUGCAACGAUGUGCUGGGACUUCUUGACAAGUACCUGAUUGCCAAUGCCACUGCAGCUGAGAGCAAGGUGUUCUACCUGAAAAUGAAAGGCGAUUAUUAUAGAUACCUGUCUGAGGUAGCAGCUGGGGAUGCAAAAAAGACCACAGUGGAUAAUUCCCAGCAGGCAUACCAGGAUGCUUUCGACAUCAGCAAGAAGGAGAUGCAGCCAACACACCCCAUCAGGCUCGGCCUGGCCCUCAACUUCUCUGUCUUUUACUAUGAAAUCCUCAACAACCCUGAGAAGGCCUGCACCUUGGCCAAGACGGUGAGAGAGCGACUUCAAGUGCCAAAUCAUGCCGCCUCAGCUUUCACCCCCAAGACAAUAAAAAAGUGCUUCACUCAAAGAAUGCAGAGCCAUUGUGACAUGUCCUAUCUUGCCAGUUUCUGCAUUUGUAAGAAGGCACUUUGGCUCAGUUUGCAAACAUGAAAUUGGAUCUAAAAUUGUGCCCAUCCUGCAGUUAUUUCAGCAUACCACUAUUUUAACAAAUUACUGGCGUGACAAUAACUUAAUGCAUUUGUAUAGCAAAGGGAUAGCUGUGUACUGGAAUAACUGGUGGCAAUUUAGCAUUCUAUUCUUAGUGUAAUUUCUUCUUUACAGGCAUUUGAUGAAGCAAUCGCUGAACUCGACACCUUAAAUGAGGAUUCCUACAAAGACAGUACUUUGAUCAUGCAACUACUAAGGGACAACCUGACUCUGUGGACAUCGGAAAACCAGGGAGAUGAGGGAGAGACCGGAGAAGGGGAAAACUAAUGGAAUUGCACUGUUAAUCUACCUACACUCUUAAACACAAACAGCUUAUAAACAUCCACCUCCACUCCAUCAACCCCUCCCCCCUCUGUAUGACAAGCAGCCGGAAUUGUUCCUGACCAACUAGUUUAUCCCUCUCAGGUCACUGAGGCGACAGGGUAAUGUCCAGGUUGUCAUUUUGUUUGUGAAAAUAAUGUGGUUGUAUUGAGUAGCGAGUCCAUGUUGCUGUUAUUUAGUUGUUGUUUUUUGUGUGUGUGUGCGCUAAAUUGGGUGUGUGAAUGACUGACUGUGUUGGGGGCGGGCGUUGUUAAUUCUAAUCGUCCUUAAUUCCUUUGUUCCACCUAGCUGGUUGUGCAUAUUUUGUUACGGUCAUUUUUUUUGUGAUUUGUCAUGGUAUUGCAGAUUUAACGUAUGGUUAUUAAACUGGCAGUUAAUUUUCACCAAUACUGUGAUGCUAAGUGUUAUAUUUUCUUCCCCACAUCACUAUUGCUUUUAAAAUUCAGACAGUACAAUCCUGUAUUUAACUAACAGUGCAAUUCUGCUGUGUGCUCAUACAGAAAGGAGGCAGGUUGUAUUGUGACACUGGCAUCUGGGCGUUUUGCUCUAUAAUCACUUUCACAAUUUCAAGGUUUGAUUAAGGGACCCCUUACUUCGCCAUGUUAGAUUUCCCCAUUAUAAGACAUUCCACCAGAAUUGUAUUAGGCUUUAUGAAAGGCAGAACUCUUUUUGAACAAAGUGGAUUAUUGUCCUAAUGGUAUAACUCACUGUUCAAGAUCAAGCGCUGCUUGAACUCAAUACAAUGAAAAUUGUAUGUGCUUAAAUGUUCCAUUUAUUUUGCAAGAUUGACUAUCUUUCUUAAAAACCUAAAGUAACUGAAAGUUUUUUUUGAAAAUGUCUUAUCACACUCAACCCUGCUUGCAAAAUAUUCCUCUUAAAGUGGUUGUUUUCUCUAAUGUUUCUGUGCCUGGUUUCCUAUUAGACACUUCAAAAUGGAAGACUGUUCAUGUCGCUUGUUUGACUGCCAAGAAGUUGAAAUUAAGCUUAGACCGUCUUCUAUUCUCUCUUAGAAUCUCAACAUAUUUGUUAUGUUUGUUCUAUGGUUUGUAAGGUAUGUCAUAAUUUGCUCUCAUGCCCCUAAACUCCACUGCUUUGAACAUAAGCCUCUGAAGCCAUUGCUGUACAAUUUAUUGUGAAGCAGCAGAUUGGAGACCCAACCCAUACCACAACCCAAGUAAGAAGCAGUGUCACAAAUUCACAAUAUCAACACAACCAUUACAUCCCACAUAGAGUAAGACCCUCAUCUACAUAUAGCGGCCAGUCUGCUUUCUUAGAGUCAAUUCUCAUCUUUAUCUGAAUAAAUAAAAUGUGGAACAGGC